AGGGGCACAGACAACUAUAUUCAAGUUAACCUUGUAAAAAUUAUGCUUAUUGUCAGGACUUUCUUCUAGCUUGCUGAGAAUAUUCCUUAUCAGUCCUGACCUCGGGCACCGUUGCUAUUAUUUGUUGGUUUUUACCCUUGCCUGAAGUGUGGAUUUAUUUUGCAUCAUGAGCAAAUAAUUAUUACUCUGCAUGUGUUCUCAAAUUAUUCUUAUUUUGCAGGACGGUCGCAAGAUUUGUACAGGUGAUUGUGCACUUUUUCAGGCUGGCAAUGCCCCAUCUUUUAUUGGAAUCAUACGGUGGUUCACAACAGACAAGGGGUGUUGAACUUCCACCAGGGGUGUCAUCAUUUGUGUGUAGGCGAGGCGAGUGUAUGACAUUGCAAACAAGUGUUUAUGGUGGUUAACAAACCAGGAUUAUAUCAACGAGCGACAGGAAGAAGUAGAUCAUUUAUUGGACAAGACCCGACUAGAAAUGCAUGCAACAGUGCAAUCAGGAGAUCGUUCUCCAAAACCAUUGAAUGGUCCAACAUCAACUCAGCAGUUAAAAUCAGAUACUGAAAGUCUGCAGAAUAGUAGCAGUUCCUUCCCUGCACAGGUUAAGGGAAAGAAGAGGGAGAGAGGGGUGAUCAGGGAACAAAACCUAUUAAGCAAGAACAUCCUACUAAGCUGGAGGAUGGUGAAUCUGCCAGUUCUAGACUCGACAAUAUGGCAAAAGCUGAGAUUGCAAAAAUAGCAGAAAAAGGGUCGCUAAUAACUACAGAAUGUGUUAACAAGCUGGUGCAUCUUAUGCAACUGGAUAAGAAUGAGAGAAAAAUUUGAUUUGUCUGGUAGGAUAUUGUUUGCAGAUGUGAUUGCAUCUUCUACUGAUAGAAUUGAAUGCCUCGGUAGGUUUGUUCAGCUUAGGGGUGUGCCUGUUUUGGAUGAUUGGCUUCA